GAGGAACUUCGGAGCAUCACUCCCAACCCAAUGUGACCAUACCAAACUGUUGCCUCGGCGGGGUCACGCCCCGGGUGCGUCGCAGCCCCGGAACCAGGCGCCCGCCGGAGGGACCAACCAAACUCUUUCUGUAGUCCCCUCGCGGACGUUAUUUCUUACAGCUCUGAGCAAAAAUUCAAAAUGAAUCAAAACUUUCAACAACGGAUCUCUUGGUUCUGGCAUCGAUGAAGAACGCAGCGAAAUGCGAUAAGUAAUGUGAAUUGCAGAAUUCAGUGAAUCAUCGAAUCUUUGAACGCACAUUGCGCCCGCCAGUAUUCUGGCGGGCAUGCCUGUCCGAGCGUCAUUUCAACCCUCGAACCCCUCCGGGGGUCCGGCGUUGGGGAUCGGGAACCCCUAAGACGGGAUCCCGGCCCCGAAAUACAGUGGCGGUCUCGCCGCAGCCUCUCAUGCGCAGUAGUUUGCACAACUCGCACCGGGAGCGCGGCGCGUCCACGUCCGUAAAACACCCAACUUCUGAAAUGUUGACCUCGGAUCAGGUAGGAAUACCCGCUGAACUUAAGCAUAUCAAUAGGCCGGGAGGAA
rnacentral:rRNA from 1 species